AUUUCAUUACAGGAGGUGCUGGGGGAGGGAACAGAAGAAUUCACAUUUCUGAGACUUUUUUUUUUUUUAAAGUCUUAUCUAGAGGUGAGUUUUCAGGGUGUGUUUGUCCCCCCCCCCUCCCGAUGACCCAGCAUCACCCCAGGCUGGGUUGUCUAAAGCUGAGCAAGUUCCGAAUUUCUUCCCAGAUUUCUUCUCUAUCAAGUCUCCCUCCAGCACAGUCUUAAGUUUAAGGACCCGCAAAAGGCAUCACCGAAGGCAAGAAGCAGAAGUCUGAGCGGGUACAAGAAACAGGGUAUUUCCCCAUCUGAAACUCGGCUAGGCCCCAAUCCUGCCAUCUGACCAGCCCCUGGCAGACCCUUCAAGCCCACCUGGCUGCUCCCUGACGAUCCUUGUGUGGCUCAGCGCAUAGGGCCAGGGUGCUGGCGCUGAAGAGCCCAUGAUCUGUUUCAGACACUAUGGCAGAGCCCCGAUAGCCCUUGGGCUGGCAGAAUGGCCGGUUAAAUCAAAGGGAUUUUUGCCUACAUAAGAACGUCAGACCAAUGUUUAAAAAAAAAAUCACCCGAAGCCCCGACAAUUUAUUCUUUUCUCUAAAAAGGGCUUGAUUUUAGUUAAGCUUCAAAUUUAGGUGCUUUUUUUAAAAAAAGGCUUUCACGUUACAAAAUGAUUACUUCGGUUCUCUCUUUUUAAAGGGACACCAUCCACUUUAAAAAAGGCAUCACACGUCUGGCCCUAACCAUUGUACUCUCCUGUUGCGAGGACCAUCUUGUUCAUCUUCUGUAAUGGAAAGUGAUUAGAUAAUUAUUUUUCCUCUGCCUUUUCGGUUUGUUCCCUUAGUUCAUGGUCAGGUUCAGUUUCCCGGUGUAACCAGCCUCUCUUGUUUGUGUGGGUCUUUAACACAGCAGCAGCUGCAUUUUAAAAGAUAGGAACCGGAUCGUGAAACCUCAAUAGUUUACAGGAAGUCACAUGGGCAGGUGUAGUGGUAACAAGUUACUUUAAACCUUUUAACAGUAGGCUCAAGUGGACGGUAUCCCUUUAAUUUCAUUGUUGUGGGGAUGUCGUGUGCUGGUCUAGGAGAGGCAGAAAAUGAAAGUAACCUCCUUAAUUCGAAGGCAGUGUGGUCUGAAGACAGGGUAUUAAAUGCUAGCCCGGGCUCUGACACCUAGGGCAAAACACUUCAGGGUGAAUUUUAAAAGGUAUUUAGGCACCUAACACCCAUUGGUUUCAGUUACAAGUGGGAGCUUGUCCGGGAUAUCAACAGGGAAGUCUCUGAAGCUUGGGACAUGCUUCCUCAGGUAGGGGAAGUACGUAACCCAGGCCUGCUUGAUGCGUUCUGUCCACUUCUAGUAGCACCGAGACCAUGUAGAGAUGGAUGAGUCUGCUACAGCCUCAGCUAAGAGGCACAUGGCUUUUAUCUCGUGCAGUAGAGGCUCAUACACUAAGCUUCAGCGGUCCCAGGUUUGAUCCUGCCCAGGGUCUGUCAGUGUUACACCUACAUACCUUUAAAAAUCUGUCCCUUAAUCUCUGUGCGCUCAAAGGGGUAAAGUUUCCAGAAGCAGCACCGAAGUCCCAUUUUCAAAAGCAAAAGGCACUUAAGGAGCCUUACUAUGAGUGAAAGCCAAUGGGCCCGACGUACUUAAGUGUCUGACGUACAAAUAUGGGAAAAUGUUACCCAAGAUCCUGAUCUGUGAAUUGAGGGGAAUAUUUUCUCUCUGGUAGAGCGGGUUCAGAUUUAUGGAGGAAGAGGGCUAUGCACGGAGUGUUACGCAUUUCCAUAUCCAGGCUGAGAAAAGUGCAGACCAGGAAUGGUGAAAAAGUAACAGACAUUUGGGAGUUUCGGGUGUUAAUCAUCCAAGGUAUUCACACAGCUUAAAGGUUUGGGGGAGAGGGAGGGAUCUCAACCAGAACAGAGUACCUGGUACAAGGAAUUGAUAAACUCUCUGAUAUAGAGUAACCCUUCCCCCUUCUCUCCUACACUGAAAGAGUCUGAAAAGUGUUUAAACCGGUGUAUGUUCAAUAUGUAAAUAUUACUGCGAGUGGUGUGGCAAUGUACUUGGCACUGCUUUGGGGGGGGGGAAAUAAAGGUAAGGUUCAGAGCCCAGUGCUGUGCGAGCAGCCCCACUAAAAGGGCUAGGAGUACUCACACAGGCAAGUACUUCUUCACCUGCAUCAGGGGGAUGAGAAUCUGAUCCAAACUAAGGGGAUGAACAUUUCAGGCUAUAGCUUGCCCGUGGGACACUGCAGAUGACCAUUUUUGGUAGGCCCAGAAGACCCUUGCUGUGGUCUAAGGUGAAGUGUGAUGGCUAAACCUGACCAACAGUGGCCAAGUGACCGUCUUUGAAGCGUGCUGUUGCAUUAGAACAAGCAGCUUUGUUUUCAUAUUUAAACAGGCUGAACCUGCCGUCGUGAUGUUACAAAAAGCCUUAAGGAGCUGGUCUCAGCAUUUCCAAUAACUUUCAUAACCAUGUUGAUUCACAGUUGUUCUAAUGGACAACUCAUCCAUUUGUAAGCUUGCGCAUCUGCCCUUUUACAUAAUGUUGAGUCUCUCUGCUUGUUUGUGCCAAGGAAUCUUUAAUUGCAGGAUAUUAUCAUAAAGGCCUCACUUCAGCAAAUCAUCCCUAUUCAACCAACUUCUACUCUAUAUAUGUUCUUAUACCAUGCUCAUCACCAGAGUAUCGGAGUGCCUUCUGCUACGUGACUAACAUCUGUCUCGUUCUCUCACCCUAACCACAGGGGAAAGCCACAUGUUGAAGCAUGCUAGGGUGUUUUUUGUUUUGUUUUUUAAAUAUACAUGUUACUAUUUAUGUUAGAGGAGGCAAGCUCAAAAAUAUGCGCCUCGCACUUGGAGCAGAAAGUAGUUCUCAGUUUUAAGCGCAUGCUUAAGCCCUAUUGAAAUCCGGUAUAUACUUAACUGCAUUGCUGAAUUGGGUCCAGAGACCUGAUAUCACAGAUUGGAAGAACACGAUGCAGGUCCAGGGCCCGACACUGUGAAAUUACAGGUCUUAUUCAGAGCAAACAACAUUGUUCAGCAAGCAGUGACUGAACAUUUGAAUGGGAAUUGUGAAAUGUAUUUAUUUUUUCCAUACACCGUAUUUUUAAACCACAAGAAUCUUAAAAUAUAGAUUUUUUUCCCUCCCACUUUUAAAAUCAAGAUUUCCUAUGAAGAAUGGAAAGUGAUGCAGAGUAGAUCAUGUUCUUCAAAGUCCACUAGGAAAUAGGAGAACUAGAAAAUGCAACUUUGAGCAUGUUUGGCCUUAAAACUUCAUAGUAUAAUGUAGCCAUAAUUGUGUGUUAGACCAAAAAAAAAUGAAAAUCCUCCCAAAAACAAUAGCUUUAACAUAAAGACACAAUCUCUAUUUGUACAGAGUUACCUUUACAUUUUGGUAAGACAAGUUCUUGCAAGACUUCUAUUUUCAGAAUCAUAGAAGUGUAAAUAAUGCCUAUUUUAUGCUCAUAGUCAUGCCAUGGUCCAGCUGACAGUAGGUUUAUAUUACUGCCACCACAGCAAAAAUCAUACCCAAAACAGACUGUGGGGAGGGAAAAUACAGGUGUAAAGAGGCGAUUUUGUUGUUGAAUGUUUCCCAUGUACACAAUGCAGCUAUCUUGCGUGCUGUAGAGUGGUAUCUCUCAGAGGGACAGGAGUCUGAUUUACACUGGAAAUUACUGAGCAACUGGAUUGUAGAGAUUAUAAUUCUUGCAUUUUCCUACAAACUAUAUUUUGAAGACACCAUGUAUUUCUGUCAAUAAACAUUCUUGUGUGAUCGGAAAAGCGUU